GAUGUUCCAUUUUCUGAUUGGCCAAUACUCGAAGUGAAAAUACCCGAUGCACUGCCAGAUGCGUUUGAAAAAGUGCUAUAUUACAUUUAUACCGAUCGCAUCGACUUUUCGGAUCGAACAGAUAACAAAGAAAUCGUGCGUCUUAUGAUGGACAUCUUCCAAUUGGCAGUUCUGUAUUUGAUAACACGUCUAGAGAACGUGUCUAUUCACUAUCUGGAACUGAGAAUUUCAAAGAACAAUUGAUUUAUUUGCUACGAAUGAGAAAAAUCGCAUUGAAACUCUGUGGAAUUGUUCACUUUAACAGACGCUAAAAACAAAGGAGAUAGGCCGACUGACAAUCUACGCACCCGUUAUCAAUAGCACAAUGACAUUAGUGUCAAAUUUAAAUAUGCGACAUGGGCUCCCAAUUGACGCAAGCAUUGUAUAUUCCGCAAGGAAAAGUCCACGGGCAAAUAUAUUUAUUGGCGUUUUAGUAGUAAUAGGAAAUACAACUGUAAGGCUCGAGCCCGUUCAAUAGCUGGUCCCAACGAAAUGAAACUAUUGAAAACAACAAUCACACCAGAACACACCCACACCGCCGAAGAGGCCAACCAGAACAGGAACCAAUUGAAUUCGGGCAAGAAUACGGACAAGAAUUCGGGAAAAAAGAAGGCGAAUAACAAUGACGAUGAAAAUGUUUUUUAUCUAUAGAAAAAAUGACAAAUUGCUAGACACUAAACACUGACCUCCGUUUUGCAUUAAUUUCAACAAGUAUAUGAUUGUGACUUCGUACUUAUUAUUGCUAAAGAAGUAGAAA